rnacentral:rRNA from 1 species
UACAGAGGUCUCAAGCGUUGUUCGGAUUCAUUGGGCGUAAAGGGUGCGUAGGCGGCGCGGUAAGUCGGGUGUGAAAUUUCGAGGCUUAACUUCGAAACUGCAUUCGAUACUGCCGUGCUUGAGGACUGGAGAGGAGACUGGAAUUUACGGUGUAGCGGUGAAAUGCGUAGAUAUCGGGAGGAACACCUGAGGCGAAGGCGGGCUACUGGGCCGAUACUGACGCUGAU